rnacentral:ncRNA from 1 species
ACUCGACAAAGUAGCUUCGUAACUCUGGAUAAGGGGUGCCUCCUCGCAAAGGGUUUCACACUGAUCAGGUCCGGAUGACUGUUUACCAGAAACACAGGUCUACGCAGAGCCGUAAGACCAUUUAUGGGGGCUAACGCCUGCUCAGUGCUGGAAGGUCAAGUAAGUCGGGUGACCUGAUGAUAGGGGAGCUGCCAUUCGAAGCCCCAGUGAAUAACAGCCAUUAGUAUAAUGGUAAUUUUUAACAUGUCUCGCUGAUGCUUGAUAUCACUGAUGGAGGAGCAUUUCUGUUGCAG